CCCAACAAACCACUUCUAGGUUAUAUUUGUUUCAUGCUCAACUACAACCCAUACAAGAGGAUACAUUUGAUUGUUGGCAUCUCUGCCUAUGGCACACAACAUCUCACCCUUCACUGCACCUUUGAAGAGACAACCAUCAAGGCCUAUUACCUAUCUACAACCAGCCUUGAAUCCUUGUUUCAUUGCAUUAAAGCAGACAUGGAAGCUUUGGAAAACACUUUCCUCCAAAUUUGUGGGGUCCAUGCAAACAACUAUUGUGCUUCCAGGGUUGCUCCUUAGCAGCUCAAGUUGGUAAUCAAAUACUAUGGUGUAUUCAUUACUCAUCCCACACGGUAGUUUGUCCAUUACAAUUUUCUUUGCAUGCUUGCACUUUGAAGUGGAGACAUCAACAAACAUAUCUUGCAAAAUAGUUGCUUUCAUGCUAUCAAUUUUCCAC
rnacentral:lncRNA from 1 species